GCCAAUACUACCAAUAUGGUUUUAUUUUUGUCAUUGUCAACAUGUACAGCAUUGGAAUUGUAUCAUUUUAUUUUAUUUCUUAAAUAUUACUGAAGUAUGCAUUAAAAAGAUACUAAUACAUUUAAAGCCAGCAGCAGUGACACACACCUAAUCCCAACUAUCUGGGAGGCUGAGGCAAGAAGAUCACAAGUUCAAGGUCAGCCUGAACAAUAUCACCAGACCCAGUCUCAAAUAAAUAUAUAUAAAUAAAAAGGGUUGGGGAUGUGAUUUAGUGGAAUGCAUCAGGGUUCAAUCCCCAGUAUCACCAAAAAACAUUUAAGAAAUAUGACACAUAAGAAGGCCUCUGUAAACAUAAUCCUUUCUCAAUAUUUUUUCCUAUUUUGCUUCAUACGUAAAUAACUGAAUCUAUAUUAUCAACUCUUAUGGCCUAGAACUGCAUACACAUUUUGGAGUUGAGAAUAAAUGUUCUCUUUGAUUUAUAAAUAACAUGCAGUAUUUGUAGUGUUUAGUUUCAUUCAAAUGCUUAUCACAAAUUCUUAUUGUCUCCCAACUUGUUCUGCUAAUAGACCUUUUCAGUUUACUGGUAAAGAUGCCAUGAAUUAAAAGUCAUAAUGGUC
rnacentral:lncRNA from 1 species